CCGCAAGGCUGAAAAUCAAAGGAAUUGACGGGGGCCCGCACAAGCGGUGGAGCAUGUGGUUUAAUUUGAAGCAACGCGAAGAACCUUACCAGGUCUUGACAUCCUGUGGCACCUCCAAAAAAUAGGAGUUUUCUUCGGAACCAGAGUGACAGGUGGUGCAUGGUUGUCGUCAGCUCGUGUCGUGAGAUGUUGGGUUAAGUCCCGCAACGAGCGCAACCCUUGAUCUUAGUUGCCAUCAUUCAGUUGGGCACUCUAAGGAGACUGCCGGUGACAAGCCGGAGGAAGGUGGGGAUGACGUCAAAUCAUCAUGCCCCUUAUGUCCUGGGCUACACACGUGCUACAAUGGAUGGAACAAAGAGCAGCCAACUCGCGAGAGUGAGCCAAUCCCUUAAAACCAUUCUCAGUUCGGAUUGCUAGGCUGCAACUCGCCUGCAUGAAGCCUGGAAUCGCUAGUAAUCGCGGAUCAG
rnacentral:rRNA from 1 species